rnacentral:rRNA from 1 species
UACGUAGGUCCCGAGCGUUGUCCGGAUUUAUUGGGCGUAAAGCGAGCGCAGGUGGUUUAUUAAGUCUGGUGUAAAAGGCAGUGGCUCAACCAUUGUAUGCAUUGGAAACUGGUAGACUUGAGUGCAGGAGAGGAGAGUGGAAUUCCAUGUGUAGCGGUGAAAUGCGUAGAUAUAUGGAAGAACACCAGUGGCGAAAGCGGCUCUCUGGUCUGUAACUGACACUGAGGCUCGAAAGCGUGGGGAGCAAACAGG